rnacentral:snoRNA from 1 species
CUGCUGCUAAGGUUUCCACUACAGACGCAAGAAAACAAAGGUUUUCUCGCUUUCUGUCUGUCUGCUUGUGGCAGCCAAGACUGAGUGGGGGAAUACAGGA